AUCAGUUUGUUUGUUUUUUUUUUGUUGCGAAAUGAGUGGUGAAAAGAAGUAGCUGUUGCUUAUGACGAUGUUAUGCAGACAAUUAUAGACACAUCAAAUAUAAAUUAUUGUUUUUGUAUAAUUUAAAACAUCGACAUUGAUAGCAAUAAUAUAAAAUUCACUUAAACAUUGGUUAAACGUUGGACGAGACUUUCUGUACCUCUUCAUAGUAAUCAAAAGAGUGCUACUCACUUCGUCAAAAUUUACACCUUUAUGGAAAAAUUAUUACAAAUGUUUCGUGCUGUAAUAUAAAUAUAUUGUGACUAACGCCAAAAUGAUGAUCAAAGUUAAGACCCUUGCCAAUCGAGUUUAUAAUGUCGAGGUUGAACCAAACGAUCAAAUUAAAUUGAUUAAGGAUAUUGUGCAUGAAUGGGAAGGUGGGCCACCUAUGUUUUCUCGUUUUUUGUUUGCUAGGCAAAUCAUGGAUACCAGUCGUACUUUUGCCGACUAUAAUGUUCAAGAAGGCUCAGUUAUAUUGUUUUUGAUGCUGUUUGUUUUUUCGCCUCAGCCUGCUCGUGCAGGAUAAUUAUGCACCUAGAACAUCUCCGCAAACAUAAAAGUUACAACAUCUUAUGUAUAUUUAUCAUGCGUUUAAGUUUAGAUUGGUUUUCUCUUGACGUUGUAUUUGAAUGUUCAAGUUUAUCAAUUAUUCGAUGUUGGUCAACAAACCUUGUACAAAUGCGAAUUGUGUAUAUUCUGUAUAUAGCAAACUAAACUGAAGUAACACUAAAUAUAAGGAAGACUAUGCAGAUAAGACUUUUCAUAACACAUCUCCAGUAUCAUAAACUAAUGGCCACUGCUAUUUGAAAACAUAAAGACCUCACACUUACAAUAAAUGCACACAAUAUAGUUUUAGUCUGGAUUUGUUUGUAAAUCUAUGAUUUACUGAAAACUUAGUAUGGUCAAAAUGAAUAACUUGCGUUGGCAUCUUUGGGUUGGAUAUAUUUUAUGAAUAAUUAUUUAUAUUUUCGCAAAUAUAAUAAACUGCGAAUUAUGUUCCUUGAAAGUUAGUCAUUUUAAGAUAAAAAAUUUUAUUAUCUGAC